GCAAGUGUAGUUUAUAAAAACAUAGCACUGAAAAUGCUAAAAUAAAUAUUAUAUUUCACUAGCA
rnacentral:tRNA from 1 species